AUGUGCUUGGAGUUCGGCUCGUGCUUCGGCGGCCGGAGACGGGACGACUACGGCCGCAGAAGAGGAAACGCCAACUGGUCAGCGCCGGCGUAUCCGCAGCCGCCCACCGUCAUCGUCCACGAGGCCGGGCACACGGCCUACCACGACGGCACACCGAAAGCCGAGCAUGCCGACGCCGGCAGCCACGGCGGGUGCGCUUACUUCCAAGACAAGGCUGGCAGCGAGACGCCGUCUAAGCUUCCCGCAUGGCAAAACAAGGUCGGCGACGACGCCGGCUACGGCGCGUACACAUACACGCCGCGCCACCAUGAGGCUGCGGUUGAUCAUAGGGAGCACGCCGCCAUGGAUCACCACCACUGUCUUUUUUCCCCCCUUCUCUUUCUCUGUUUGGGUUUUGGUCAGUCGUCUUCCAAUCUGCUGAAACUGAAAGGCACCUGGAGGAGUAGUGUAUCAUGCGUCCGCAGCUCAUCUACUGCUUGGAACACAACUCAGCACCCCACCAUGUUGCACUGGAUCAGCACACUUGCCAAACACACCAACUGCUAA
rnacentral:rRNA from 1 species